UUCUCAUGCUAUAGCCCAGGCUGGCCUGGUACUCAUGACAACUCUCCUGCCUCAGCCUUCUGCGUAUUAGAGAUUAUAGGAGUGAGCCACCAUGUUCAAAUACAAGUUUAAAAAAAAAUUCAAUUUGAAUCACCAACCAAAAGAGGCUCAUUAUUAUAAUAAAAGAAAAGACUUUGUGUAAUGGAAGUAAGUCAUAUGACUGGUACCUACUACUAAAGCCUCCCCCUGAAUCGAGCUGUGUGAUGUAAGCCCAAACUGGUAUAAAAGGUGGAUAGAAAGAGAAAAGGAAAUGUGGGGAAGGAAGGAGGCUUGGCACCCAUGCUGGCUGGGAAUAAAAAAAAAAAAAAUCACAUGAACAAGGCUAUGAGCCAUGUUUAUACUCAAAAUAUGUCUGAAUUGUGGCCUGUGUAUGGUGAGGAUUCCUUGGACCCUUUUGACCCAUUUUUAUCUUCUCAGCCUGUAAACCCGGUUCAAUGAACUUCAUACAGUACCUUAUACCCUCCUGUACUAAAGGAAAGUUCUUAACAUAAAUGGUAUGCUAAAACCUUUCCCUUGACCCCCAAAUCCUCUGAACAAUGUACCCUCAAGGCCACUGAAGUUCUCUGUGGAGUGUGGGUAAGACCCUCGGACCGGAGCGUGUCUUCAGAAGCCAGUGUCACAUUUGGGCUGGACACCAUCCUUGUCUCAAGCUCCUCCCCCUCCUCCUUUGCCUUCCUAAUUCCUGUGCUUACAUCUAUAUUAAAACCCUUUCUUAAUAAACCCAACUUCUGCCUCACACCGAUAGGCCUAGGAAGUAUUCCCGCUGUAAGUCAAGACUAUCUGCUGUUCCUGAGGGGAGGCCAGUGAGGAGAGCCUCCGGCUGCACAGCUUACAGUGGAGCUCCGUGCCUCCUGCAGCUUUUGACUUGCCAGCAGAGAUGGGGGAAUGUAGCAUUAUUUCCACCCCUCUGUGUGGCAUCCCCUCAUGUCUGACCAAAAUGACCACCAGAUGUCUACCGGGGGUCAAGGCCUUUGCACACAUCUUCAUUAGCCCUCAGGCUCAGCAGUAUCAUCCCACUGUACAAGGGAAGGGUGAGAGACACAAAGGAUCCACUCAAGGACAGAGAGGCCAGCACAGCUGCCAUGUGACAUGUCUGAACAACCUUCCACACCUCCGGAAAGGUUAUGUAUGGACUUCAGACAGAAGAUGGUCUCACUUCUUCUGUUGAUGCAAAAGAAAAACAUGAGAAGUUUUAAAGGAAGAGGAUUGAAAAUAGGAAAUGGAAAACAAAAGAAUAUUCUGAGGAAAAUAGAGCCGAGGCAUUUAGAGAAACAAGAAAAGCGAUUUCGCGAUAUUGGUCAGGGCUCUUUUGUGUGUCCUGACAGACAACAAACAAACAAAACCAAAGCGGGUCACAGCCAAACCGAGGAUGCCGCUGGACGCCGGGGCUGCCGCUGAAGGCUUGCCAUCUCUUCUCCAGCCUCUGCUCUUCCCGACAUGCUGCACUCCCUGCCUGCUGAGCUUAUCCCACUGAUGACUACGUGCUUUCUCCAUGUAGCAGAAGAUAUGGGCACCGAAGUCUAGGUUUAUAACCACCAAGGCCUCAUCGGAGAGAGCAAAAGAGCAGCCCUCCCCCUUCCAUCCCUCAGAGAAACUACAGGAAAGGGCUCCAAGGAGCUGUUCAGGGGCAAAGUGGCCCAAACUAGGUCCCAGACCCAUUGCUGAUGAUGGGGAAGCAGGCAGGUUCUGCACCAGGAGCAAAGCACAAUAGGCUGAGGUGACGUGAUCUCCUGGAACACACCACACGGUGCUACCAGAGGAGUGUACCAGGAGAGGGGAGCUGUGAAGAAGAAGGGAGACACCAGAUUCAGCUGUUAGCCGAGGAUGGCCAGCAAUACCAGCAGCCGGAAGAGCAAGGAGGGAUCCUCCCCUCCAGGUUUCAGAAGCAUGCCUGCCAAUGCCCUGGCCGUAGACUUCCACCCUCUGGAACUGUAAAACACAUUCUUGUAGAUGUAACCAACCGUCUUAUUAAAUAAGAAACACAGAACCAAUGCAAAGAAGAAAGCCAAGAGGUCAGAGCUAAGAACAAAAACCUUACCCUUCCUCCUGCGAUAGUCCUACUUCUUUGAAAGAGAGCUACUUCCUGUGUUAAAGUCUUUAUAUAGACUUUCUGUUCUGCCUUCUCAUUGGUUGUAAACCCAACCACAUGACCGCCUUGUCACUGCCUGUCUGUAUAGACCUCCAGGUCUUCUAUGGUUGGUAUUGAGAUUAAAGGCAUGUGUAUCCAAUGCUGGCUGCAUCCCUGAACACAUAGAGACUUACCUAGCUCUGCCUACCAAAUGCUGGGAUUACAAGCAUACGCCACCACCACCCGGCUUUCCUAUGGCUUGCUAAUAGCUCUGACCCCUGGGGCAACUUUAUUUAUUAACAUACAAAUAACAUUUUAAUACAAAUAAAAUAUCACCAUACGUUCUUUUGUUUUAAGCCAACCAGUUUGUUAGAGACUAAAACAAGU